rnacentral:rRNA from 1 species
CCUACGGGAGGCAGCAGUGAGGAAUAUUGGUCAAUGGACGAGAGACUGAACCAGCCAAGUCGCGUGAAGGAUGACUGCCCUAUGGGUUGUAAACUUCUUUUAUAUGGGAAUAAAAUGUUCCACGUGUGGGAGUUUGUAUGUACCAUAUGAAUAAGGAUCGGCUAACUCCGUGCCAGCAGCCGCGGUAAUACGGAGGAUGCGAGCGUUAUCCGGAUUUAUUGGGUUUAAAGGGAGCGUAGGUGGAUUGUUAAGUCAGUUGUGAAAGUUUGCGGCUCAACCGUAAAAUUGCAGUUGAAACUGGCAGUCUUGAGUACGGUAGAGGUGUGCGGAAUUCGUGGUGUAGCGGUGAAAUGCUUAGAUAUCACGAAGAACUCCGAUUGCGAAGGCAGCUCACUGGACUGCAACUGACACUGAGGCUCGAAAGUGUGGGUAUCAAACAGGAUUAGAUACCCUGGUAGUC